CAGCCGUAAACUAUGCGCGUUAGGUGUAUCGGUGACCACGAGUUACCGAGGUGCCGAAGGGAAACCGUGAAACGUGCCGCCUGGGAAGUGCGGUCGCAAGGCUGAAACUUAAAGGAAUUGGCGGGGGAGCACCACAACAGGUGGAGCCUGCGGUUUAAUUGGACUCAACGCCGGACAACUCACCGGGAACGACAGCAAUAUGUAGGCCAGGCUGAAGACCUUGCCUGAAUCGCUGAGAGGAGGUGCAUGGCGUA
rnacentral:rRNA from 1 species